GAGUUUGAUCCUGGCUCAGGAUGAACGCUAGCGGGAGGCUUAACACAUGCAAGUCGAGCGGCAGCACGGGCUUCGGUCUGGUGGCGAGCGGCGAACGGGUGCGUAACGCGUAUGCAACCUGCCUUAUGCAGGGGGAUAGCCCAUGGAAACGUGGAUUAAUACCCCAUAAUACCAUUGGGUCACAUGGUUUGAUGAUUAAAAUUUCGGUGGCAUAAGAUGGGCAUGCGUCUGAUUAGCUUGUUGGUGAGGUAACGGCUCACCAAGGCGACGAUCAGUAGGGGUUCUGAGAGGAUUAUCCCCCACACUGGUACUGAGACACGGACCAGACUCCUACGGGAGGCAGCAGUGAGGAAUAUUGGUCAAUGGGCGCAAGCCUGAACCAGCCAUCCCGCGUGCAGGAUGACAGCCCUAUGGGUUGUAAACUGCUUUUCUACGCCAAGAAACGGCUCUACGAGUAGGGCACUGACGGUAGCGUAGGAAUAAGCAUCGGCUAACUCCGUGCCAGCAGCCGCGGUAA
rnacentral:rRNA from 1 species